GGUCCCAUGGUGUAAUGGCGAGCACUUUGGACUCUGAAUCCAAGCAUCCGAGUUCGAGUCUCGGUGGGACCU